CCUCAAUACAGACCUGUUCUUAGGCAGAUCAUGAUUACAUUUGAUGCAUCAUUCAUGUAACCUUCUACUAUUGAGCCAAAUAAACCUGAGAUCUUUCCAUGGAAAUUGUAGUUUAACAUACGCUAGUCUGACAUGAUUGUAUUGUUUUCUGCCAAGGAGACGUACUGUAACCAUUGUUUGUUUUAAUCUUCAAAAUGAAAGCACAGGAGAAGCUUUCCUAUUGUGUUAUUGACUGUACGUUUGUUUACUCCAUGUGUAACUGUGUUGUUUGUGUCGCACAGCUUUGCUUUAUCUUGGCCAGGUCUCAGUUGUAAAUGAGACCUUGUUCUCAACUGGUCUACCUGGUUAAAUAAAGGUGUUCUCAACUGGUCUACCUGGUUAAAUAAAGGUGAUCUCAACUGGUCUACCUGGUUAAAUAAAGGUGUUCUCAACUGGCCUACCUGGGUAAAUAAAGGUGUUCUCAACUGGUCUAC
ensembl:lncRNA